rnacentral:rRNA from 1 species
AGAGUUUGAUCCUGGCUCAGGAUGAACGCUAGCGGCAGGCUUAACACAUGCAAGUCGAGGGGCAGCAUAAUGGAUAGCAAUAUCUAUGGUGGCGACCGGCGCACGGGUGCGUAACGCGUAUGCAACCUACCUUUAACAGGGGCAUAACACUGAGAAAUUGGUACUAAUUCCCCAUAACAUUCGAGAAGGCAUCUUCUUGGGUUAAAAACUCCGGUGGUUAAAGAUGGGCAUGCGUUGUAUUAGCUAGUUGGUGAGGUAACGGCUCACCAAGGCAACGAUACAUAGGGGGACUGAGAGGUUAACCCCCCACAUUGGUACUGAGACACGGACCAAACUCCUACGGGAGGCAGCAGUGAGGAAUAUUGGUCAAUGGACGCAAGUCUGAACCAGCCAUGCCGCGUGCAGGAAGACGGCUCUAUGAGUUGUAAACUGCUUUUGUACGAGGGUAAACGCAGAUACGUGUAUCUGUCUGAAAGUAUCGUACGAAUAAGGAUCGGCUAACUCCGUGCCAGCAGCCGCGGUAAUACGGAGGAUCCAAGCGUUAUCCGGAUUUAUUGGGUUUAAAGGGUGCGUAGGCGGUUUGAUAAGUUAGAGGUGAAAUACCGGGGCUCAACUCCGGAACUGCCUCUAAUACUGUUGAACUAGAGAGUAGUUGCGGUAGGCGGAAUGUAUGGUGUAGCGGUGAAAUGCUUAGAGAUCAUACAGAACACCGAUUGCGAAGGCAGCUUACCAAACUAUAUCUGACGUUGAGGCACGAAAGCGUGGGGAGCAAACAGGAUUAGAUACCCUGGUAGUCCACGCAGUAAACGAUGAUAACUCGUUGUCGGCGAUACACAGUCGGUGACUAAGCGAAAGCGAUAAGUUAUCCACCUGGGGAGUACGUUCGCAAGAAUGAAACUCAAAGGAAUUGACGGGGGCCCGCACAAGCGGAGGAACAUGUG